AUUGAACGCUGGCGGCAGGCCUAACAAAUGCAAGUCGAACGAGUGGCGGACGGGUGAGUAAUGUCUGGGAAACUGCCUGAUGGAGGGGGAUAACUACUGGAAACGGUAGCUAAUACCGCAUACAAUAAGAUGUGCCCCGAUGGGAUAAGCUGGUUGGUGGGGUAACUGCUCACCAAGGCGUCGAUCCCUAGCUGGUCUGAGAGGAUGACCAGCAACACUGUAACUUAGACACGGUCCAGCCUCCUACGGGAGCCAGCAGUGGGGAAUAUUGCACAAUGGGCGCAAGCCUGCUGCAGCCAUGCCGCGUGUAUGAAGAAGGCCUUCGGGUUGUAAAGUACUUUCAGCGGGGAGGCGUUACCCGCAGAAGAAGCACCGGCUAACUCCGUGCCAGCAGCCGCGGUAAUAC
rnacentral:rRNA from 1 species